AUACUGACAGUACCACAGACUACCAAAAGAACAAACAAAUCUGUCUUGAUAAAAGCAUAACCACAGCUUGUCCAUUGCACUCCGGAUGUGCUGACCCCUGCAACUUCCCCAAAUGUGGGGAACUCACUGCAUAAUUUGUGGUAGUAGGGGCCUGCAUUCACGCUCUCCGUUA